rnacentral:lncRNA from 10 species
GGGGACCUGAGAAGCUCCUGUAUCAGUCAGGACUAAAUCAAGGAAGCAGAACUACUCAGAGUACUGUAGAGUAGGGAUUUAUUAUAAUGGUAACUUCUUGCACAAUUGUAGGAGAAGCUGGAGAACAGUCACUUCUCAGCUCCUCUGAUGCAUUGGCGUGGGUGAACAAGUUAGAGCUUGCCAGGAAAUCAGUGAAGCAACACAUAUGCAGCUGCUAGAAGAGGAGUGUAAAGGAGAGCUGGUGGCUUUGGAAGGUUGCUGUUUAUAUGUCUGCUGAAGGAUAGGGGAUCCUAUUCAUCAGUGGCAUUUGGAAAUAGAGCUGGAUGCAGAGUGGAGAGUGAUAACAAGCUGAAUCCACUGGAUGAACUUCAAAGAGUAAUGGCUGCUGCUUCAUUUCUGCUUUCCAAAUCACAUUGGAUUAUCUUUUGACCACCUCUGAGAACCAUAUGGGGAAAGAGGAUUCUGGGCAAUAUUGUUCCAGGUCAAACAAGCUGAUAAACUACAAGCUGAUAAACUACAAAACAACCGCACUCCAGCUCAUGUCAGCUUGGUGUCAUUCACAUCUCUUUUAUCCAUAUUUGCAUCUAAUAGUUUGAGGAAGGAUGAGGUCACCAGGAGAAAGAACAGAAGCAAGAAAACCACUGAAAGGUGAUUGCAAUGGACAAGGUCA